UACAACCAGACGGCGCGACUCACCCCAAG
rnacentral:piRNA from 1 species